CCCUUAGAUGUUCUGGGCCGCACGCGUGCUACACUGAGUGGAUCAGCGGGUCAGGUUGCGCGAAAGCGUUUCCUAAUCUUUAAAUCCGCUCGUGAUGGGGAUUGACGGUUGCAAUUUUCUGUCAUGAACGAGGAAUACCUUGUAAGCGCGGGUCAUCAUCCCGCGCUGAAUACGUCCCUGUCCUUUGUACACACCGCCCGUCGCUCCUACCGAUUGAGUGGUCCGGUGAGGCUUUGGGAUCUGAGCGGAAAGAGCGUUUCGCUGUUUCUGCUCGGAAAACUCAGUCGAACCUUAUCAUUUAGAGGAAGGAGAAGUCGUAACA
rnacentral:rRNA from 1 species